AUACGGAGGGUGCAAGCGUUAUUCGGAAUCACUGGGCGUAAAGGACGCGUAGGCGGGUUGGCAAGUCAGAUGUGAAAUCCUACAGCUUAACUGUAGAACUGCAUUUGAAACUGCUAACCUAGAGUAUGGGAGGGGGAGAUGGAAUUAGUGGUGUAGUGGUAAAAUCCGUAGAUAUCACUAGGAAUACCGAAAGCGAAGGCGAUCUCCUGGAACAUAACUGACGCUCAGGCGUGAAAGCGUGGGGAGCAAACAGGAUUAGAAACCCUUGUAGUCC
rnacentral:rRNA from 1 species